AAAAAAAAAAAAAAAUAUUUUUUAGUACAAGUUAUGACUAGAAAUUAAUAUGAAUGACAACCUAGCCAGGAAAAAUGUGAGAGCAGUGAGACAUCCAACACAGCCAUAAUAAAGUGCACUUAAGUCCUUCAUCCAGAUUCCAGACAAUGUCAGAAAAGAACUUAUGGUAUACAAAUUUAUGCCAUUAAAUUAAUGAAUGACGACAAUUUUCUCCAAUUAUACAAACUGAAAUUUUUGCACAUUAUAAAGGCACGCUCAGCCCAUAAAACGGCCUUGCUAUCCUAUUACUUCUUGACCAUUUGGACAAUCACGUUCCUACUUAAGGUGUGUGGAAAUGCAUAAAGAGAUAGAAUGAUGCAUAUAAAUUAACAACUAUUAGCAGGAAUAAAAACAUCUCUGCAUAUACCAGCCAGGAAAUCAGAACGUGACUAUUUCUAGUUCUCAAGUUGAAACAUAUGAAAUUCUAACCAAAAGUUUUUCUUAGAAGAAAAUACCAAAUAGUAUAAAUUCAUAUUUACAACAAGCUCAUCAACCAAAAUAAAAUUAAUGAAUUGUAGAAGUUAGUAUUUGCAACAAGCUCACUUAUCAAAACAGUUUUGUACAUCAGCACACGUUAAGCUAGCCUGAAAGUCAUUGUUAGUAUAACCUAAUCAUACAUGGCCAUAUCUCAAAUCACGUAUUUGAUGUUCAAAAGAAACGGCGAAAAUCAUACGCCAGGAAGCGACAGAGGAUAACAAGUUUU
rnacentral:misc_RNA from 1 species